GACGAACGCUGGCGGCGUGCUUAACACAUGCAAGUCGAACGGUGAAGCACCUUCCUUUUGGUGGGUGUGGAUGAGUGGCGAACGGGUGAGUAACACGUGAGUAACCUGCCCCCUUCUUCUGGAUAACCGCAUGAAAGUGUGGCUAACACGGGAUAUUCUGGGUCUGUCGCAUGGCGGGCCUGGGAACGAUAUUGUUUCGUUGGGGGAUGGGCUCGCGGUCUAUCAGCUUGUUGGUGGGGUGAUGGCCUACCAAGGCGGUGACGGGUAGCCGGCCUGAGAGGGUGGACGGUCACAGGGGGACUGAGACACGGCCGAGACUCAGACGGGAGGCAGCAGUGGGGAAUAUGGAACAAUGGGCGAAAGCCUGAUGCAGCGACGCCGCGGGAGGGAUGGAGGCCUUCGGGUUGUAAACCUCUUUCGCCAGUGAAGCAGGCCUGUCCCUUUUGUGGGUGGGUUGACGGUAGCUGGAUAAGAAGCGCCGGCUAACUACGUG
rnacentral:rRNA from 1 species